CCCUAUCGCCACUCCGAGAAACAGCGGGCGCGGGUUUUCUAGGGCAGACUACCCGGGUCAGGUCGUGAGGUCACGUGCUCGCGGGGCUCCUCCGGGCGCGCGGUUUCCAGAUCCGCCGACAGAGGGCGCUGGGGCCGAAGAGGAGCGCGUUCCGGGGCCUGGGAGGAGCGCGUUCGGGGCCCAGGGAGGAGCGCUUUCGGGGGCCUGGGAGGAACGCGUUCGGGGGCCGGGGAGGAGCGCUUUCGAGGGCAGGGAAGGAGCGCGUUCGGAGGCUUGGAAGGAACGCGUUCGGGGGCCGGGGAGGAGCGCGUUCGGGCGCCUCUUCCGGAUCCUGAGCGCCACGCUGUGGGGCUCGGUGGUUCAGAGCCACACCUGACACCCUCACGUCCCAAACUCACACGGUCUCACCGACAAAGCCACGGGAAGGAGCGCGCAGCUGAAGACCCCACCUUGUCUGCCGGCGCCCAACCUGGGGCCCAGACUCCCAUCACUGGGUCUGCUGUUGGCUGGAGAGACCCACCCACUCGUGAUCAGCAGACGUGGGCACAGAAGAAAGUGCACGUGCAUGUGUGUGGUGCGUGUGUGUGUGUGGGUGGGUGUCUACGCACACGUAUCUAAGGGGGUACCCAGCAUAUACCCUGAGCAGAUUUUCAACACCACCCCUCUUCUAUAAGACAAAAAUUAUUGGCAGUAACAAUCAUGCAAUGAAUAACAAUAAAUGGCAGGCAGCCAAAAUUU